rnacentral:pre_miRNA from 1 species
CGGCAGAAACCUAUCGGUUAUACUUUUUGGAUAUGCUAUACCCGUAUAAGUUUCUGCUGAG